UGAAGAAAACAUUGCUAUACUGUUUGGGCUAGAAUACAAUUUUCCUAAAGGAUUCCUUUAGGAAAAUUGUAUUCUAGCCCAAACAGUAUAAUUGUAUUC